AUUGAACGCUGGCGGCAGGCUUAACACAUGCAAGUCGAGCGGAGCGAGGGUGCUUGCACCUUAGCUUAGCGGCGGACGGGUGAGUAAUGCUUAGGAAUCUGCCUAUUAGUGGGGGACAACAUUCCGAAAGGGAUGCUAAUACCGCAUACGCCCUACGGGGGAAAGCAGGGGAUCUUCGGACCUUGCGCUAAUAGAUGAGCCUAAGUCGGAUUAGCUAGUUGGUGGGGUAAAGGCCUACCAAGGCGACGAUCUGUAGCGGGUCUGAGAGGAUGAUCCGCCACACUGGGACUGAGACACGGCCCAGACUCCUACGGGAGGCAGCAGUGGGGAAUAUUGGACAAUGGGGGGAACCCUGAUCCAGCCAUGCCGCGUGUGUGAAGAAGGCCUUUUGGUUGUAAAGCACUUUAAGCGAGGAGGAGGCGUUCUAGGAUAAUACCCUAGAUGCGUGGACGUACUCGCAGAAU
rnacentral:rRNA from 1 species